rnacentral:rRNA from 1 species
AGUAACGCGUGGAUAACCUGCCUCACACUGGGGGAUAACAGUUAGAAAUGACUGCUAAUACCGCAUAAGCGCACAGUACCGCAUGGUACAGUGUGAAAAACUCCGGUGGUGUGAGAUGGAUCCACGUCUGAUUAGCCAGUUGGCGGGGUAACGGCCCACCAAAGCGACGAUCAGUAGCCGACCUGAGAGGGUGACCGGCCACAUUGGGACUGAGACACGGCCCAA